rnacentral:misc_RNA from 1 species
GUUACUUUAUAGUGUUUACAUUCUAGACUUUGUAGUUUGAUAUAAAGGCGGAAGCAAGUCACCAGAGGUAAUUUGCAACCGGAAUGUGCACAGGGGUGUGAGGUUCAACAGCGUGCAGCCAAAGCGCACAGCUGAAGAGGUUUGGGCCCAAGGGCCGAAUCUUUAAUGAUCCUUCCGCAGGUUCACCUACGGAAA